rnacentral:sRNA from 2 species
CCCGCGACAGGGCCUUUGCCGGCAGUGGGCUCGAUGAAAGGGAUGUGUCAUUCUGGCUGUUGUUCCUACGCUGUGCGCUGUGGUACCUUUAUUGCUGAAAAUCACCCUAAAGUUCUGUCUAGUAUGCGCUGUGGUUUGCCGCUGGGAAGUGCAGCUUUCCCUCACCAGCCAGUCCUCCAAACAAACGUCUUGUUUGCUUGAUGAUUCAAUUGAUUUACGAGUAUUUAAUCCUCUCCGCUAAUUCUGGGAAGUUUGUAGCCAAUGACCAUAGGGAAUUGGUGUUCAGGGGCCUAUAAUUCGUAUAAAUCCGGGAAGUUGAAUAUGUAUCUUUCGAG